ACCUUACCUACUCUUGACAUCCAGAGAACUUAUCCAGAGAUGGUUUGGUGCCUUCGGGAACUCUGAGACAGGUGCUGCAUGGCUGUCGUCAGCUCGUGUUGUGAAAUGUUGGGUUAAGUCCCGCAACGAGCGCAACCCUUAUCCUUUGUUGCCAGCGGUUCGGCCGGGAACUCAAAGGAGACUGCCAGUGAUAAACUGGAGGAAGGUGGGGAUGACGUCAAGUCAUCAUGGCCCUUACGAGUAGGGCUACACACGUGCUACAAUGGCGUAUACAAAGAGAAGCGACCUCGCGAGAGCAAGCGGACCUCAUAAAGUACGUCGUAGUCCGGAUUGGAGUCUGCAACUCGACUCCAUGAAGUCGGAAUCGCUAGUAAUCG
rnacentral:rRNA from 1 species